UUCGCUGAGCCCGGGCUGGGGACCCCUCGGCGAGAGCCCUCCCCGGUCAGAUCCCGGGAGCCGAAACCGGGGGGCGGCCGCUGCCGGAGCCACGCCCUUCCCGCUGCCAUCACCAGGCCGUGCCCCUUCCACAUCUUUGACGUUGACCCUCGUAUAGUGACCCCUGCGACUCCAGCAGGCACACCGAGAUGAUCCCAGAUGGUCUUUCCUCCCGGAACCCUCCUUAAUGCCACCUGCCAAGUCCUUUAGACCACGGGAGGAGGGCGCGGACCCUGGGGUGAGUGAGUGGGCCCUGGGUGGGGUGAGUGGACCCCGGGGUGGGGUGAGCCUUCCUCUACCAACACCCCUCGGCACCCUGUAAGCAGUUUUGUUUCUCGCUUCUCUCUUUUUAGAAACAGCUGGGUGUGUCCUGCAGUCCUGGGGGGAGCCAGGGCCUCCUGCGCCCUCGGCCAUUCUCCGCCGCGGGCCCCCAGCCCGUCUUUUUCAUUUUGAAACAGGGGUCAGCUAGUUGUGCAGGCUGGCCUCGAAUACAGUCCCCUGCGUCAGUCUUCUGAGUCCUUGGGGUUCAUUCUUCUUUUUUCCUCGGUGACAUCAGUGUCCCCACUUACACAUUCUUCCCUAACAUCCUUGUUGAGGGCUGCGUAUGUUGCAGGCACCCGUUUCUUUUUCUCUGGAUAACAAGCAUUUACUGACGGCUUCCUGCGUGCCGGGCACUAGGCUGGGUGGAGGGUACACACUGAGUGGGGCCACGCAGCUCCUCCCUCCGGAGCUUGCUGCCUUCCAAGGGCCAAACAGAAGGCCCUCAGGGAAAGCACAGGCUCUAGGGCAGGGGUCCGCACAGCCAAAGAAGGCCACAGCUGAACUGUGCAGAGCGGGGAGGCUGGCACUGACCGGGAAGGACGGGGCUCCCUGGAAGCCUCAAGUUCCGUGGCUCCUGGCAGAAGGUCGAGGCAAGAGUUCUCCUCUUGAUCCGUUAAGACAGCAUUGGAAAGUCUGGAAGCUCUUGAGGCCGCUCUGAUAGGGACACAGAGAGCCACAGAGAGCCCCAGGGAGCCGGCGCACGAGGUGGGGAAGCUCAAGACUGGCUGUGUGCUUGUCUGUCUGUCUGUUUGAGGGUCCUGCUUUGUUGCCCAGGCCGGCUUUGAACUCGGGUCCCCCUACGCAGCUUGGCACUACAGGUCCCGCCACCACCCUGGGCUGGAAACCACUCGUUUUGUACAGGGCCGAGGAGAUCCCGGAGAGGGAGAAGGAAUUUUAACUUGGUCAAGGAGACAGACGGGGCAAGUGACUUGUCCAAGGUCACACAGCUUAUAAAUGGCAGAACCAGGAUCCAACGACCGAUGUCCCGGCUCUGAGUCUGUGAUUCAAAAGUAGACUAAGUUCAAGGUAACCGAAAAGAUAACGCGGAGUCUGAGCAGCCAUGAGAAGACCAGCCCCGGACCGAUGGGCGGAGGUGGCGCAGUGGUGAGCGCUGCCCAGCGGGACCUGCCUUCGCUCGCUGUGGCGGGCAGACACGUGGGAGCAGACACCUAUGGAAACUGCUAGAAUCAAGUGGAGAUGCUGCUAGGGAUGCGGCUUCCUGGCCUCGGUGACGUCCUGGACGUUGCAGAAACCAGCUGUGGUUUCAGAGACACAACCUGCGACAGGGGUCUCAGCCAGGGAUCAGUGGACUCGGUGGCUCCGGGCCUGAGGUGAGACGGCACCCACAGUCUCCAGAAGCCACACAGAGGAGAGCUGUCAGCUCAGGGCAGUGGGGAAGCCCAGAGAAGCUGGGGACCAGACCCGGUCCCAGAGGGCACACCUGCCCCGCCCUUCCUCCAGCAGCGUCGCCCGCCCGGGCUCCCACGGCCUCCAGGAGCCCACUCAGCCAUGCGUGGCCAACCCGCUGCUGAGGUGGAGCCCUCGGGAUGCAACUCCUCGGUGCCAGCCUGCUCCCCACCCCUGCAGCACCGGAGCUCCUGCCAGGAGCCAGUGCGCGCACCCACCUUCCCGCAGCGCCACGGGCACCCGCGGUGGCAUGGCAGGCCGGGUUUCCUCACGUGUCGUCGGGCACUGCGGCAAGGCUGCCUCGGGAGGGCGCACCUGGCCCCCGGCCACGCUGAGGUCGGUCCUUUCUCUGCUCAUCCCAGCCCCCUCCCCGAUGGUCACAGCUCCGCUGUCCCCCCUGUCCUUCUUCCGCGUGUUGCUGGGGUGGAACCCAGUGCCCUGCCCAUGCUGGGCACACCCCUAGCCCCAGGCCAGGUGGCUCAUGGGAGGGUCCCCGGGGACCAACGGGGGACGUCUGCUGACAUUGCGGCUGUCAGAACUGGACGCGGGUAGGAUGUGCCAUGAGCACCCAUCUAGUGGGCAGAGGCCCGGGUAGUGAUCAAGAGCCUGGAGUGUGCAGGGGGUCCCCACCACAGUGAAGGACCUGCUCUCAGAUGUCCACUGUGCCGAGGCUGAGAAACCCCAACCUGGAUGUCACAUAAGGCAGAGGGACUCAGGAAGACCAAUGGCCCGCUCCUCCUGGUGUCCCACCCCGGCUCCCCUGGGGCCAUCUGAAUGGGGUGGACUCGACUGCACUGCUCAGACCCAUGCCUUGCUGGGCACCUGAUCCCCACCUGUGCAAGAUACAACUUGCUGCAGGGAAACAGUCGCCACUUGAGAGAGUGUGUCCCUGUGAUCCGUGCUCAGUCCCUCCUGUGCCUUAGUUCAUCAGUCCUCACAGCCACCUUGAGGGAGCACGAUGCUCUUCACGCCCAUUUCACUGUGAGAAAACCAGCCUCCCAGCAGGAGCGUCCACGUGGAGCCCAAAGACAAGCCCAGUUCUUUGCAGGGCAGAGCUCACGCCACUGGCACUUGACCCCAGUGAGCCUCCGCUGGGGCCGCUGUGCCCUCUGUUCCCCGACUGGAUGGGUGGCUGCUGUGGGUGUCACACUGUAGGGUGCAUGGGAUGGAUGGUGGGUGCUGCUGGCCUGGAGGGGUGGAGGCCAGGGACACUGCUCAGCACCCUGCAGUGCCCAGAACACCGCCCCAGAGAAUAACUUGGCCCCAGGGUCCCCAGGACUGAGGGGAGGGAGUCCGCCCAGGAAGCCAUUAUCUCAAGAUCUACACCCCCCCCCGCCCCCC